UGUUCAUGAAAAGUUCAUGAAAAAUUUAAGGUUAUAAAAAGUUCAUGCAAAAGCCCAAAAGUUCAUGAAACAUGAACUUUGUUCAUGAUCUGGCAACCCUGGCGAGGGGUGCAAAUAUGGGUGUGGUGACACCGCCUACCAAAUCAGCUGACAACAUUCUAAUGAAAUUAUAUUCAUUUUUUAUUUCUAUUAGGUUUCUUUCUUUGAUCCUGUUAGAGAUAGACUGACUAAAAACUUUAGGCUCACUAAGUUGCAUUAAAGUAAUGAGUUUCUUCAAUAAUAAGAGGAUUUCAUGAGAAUCUGGAAGACAAAUGAUAGCUAAUUUUUUAUGUGAAAUAAAAGUUUUCAUUAACUUUCCCUACACUUUGGAGGCAACAGAUCAAAGUUUUUAAUGACCAGGUUGAGGAAUUCCUGUAUAAUCAGUCAAAAGUAAACCCAUGCAAAAAAGCUAUAAGUGACAAUAAAGAAGGAGCAUUUAGGUCAUAUGGAGGAUAGUAACAGUCUUUUUAGCAAGUUAGGUCAACAUGACCUUGUUUCUUUCUCUGAUUUCCUAUUCUAUUAACAUUAUUAGCCACACUUUGAGCGAGCUUUAAAAUGUUUGACCUCAAUGGCAAUGGAGAAGUUGAGUUUGAUGAAUUUGAAAUGGUUCAGUCAGUUCUCCUCAGCUCCACAGCAGUGGGAGUGAGAGGACCACAUCAUCAAUAGUAAUAUGGCUUCAUCUGUGGAGCAUUAGCAAUUCAUUUCUUUGGUAAGAAACUCAACCAGAAAUUGACAAUAAAAAGUUUCAAGAAGUCCAUGCUCUUCUCAAAACUGAGAUAUUUCUGAUGGAAUAUCUAUAUGAUCUUGUUCAUGGGAUGAUAAAGUGAAAGAGACUUUGCUGGCAUGAUCCUGCGUCAUGCCUCACUCAGUGAACAAAAGAAGAAGCAAAUGGUUGGACCCAAACCUAAUCCGGGUGGUAAUUUUGGAGAUGUUAAAUUCUUUAAUCAUUUGAUGGGUUGUUUCUCUGACAUAGAUACAGCACUGAGUAUGUGCUCUGCAGCUGGAAUCUCUAUAACACCUGCUGAGCUCGAUGAAGCUUGUAAGGCUGUCACUGGUUCAUCUGUCAGUAGUCAUGUUGUGGAUGUCCUUUCACAAUAUUUGAUGAAAAUAAUGAUGGUAAAUUAAGUAGAAAGGAGUUUGUACACGCAUUAAAAUCAAGAAAUUUGCGUGGUUUGCAAAAGUCACGUGAAUUAGGACUAGCCAAACUAAUGAACUCGGUUGUGGCUUGCAAAGCAGUUAAAGACAAAUUAGAAAAAAGGAUUGAAGCUUGAGUUGGUACUAUGAUGUAGUCAGUCAAGUCAGGAUUAUAAACUACUUUAUAUUAUAACAGAAAUGUCUUUUAGUUAUGGCAGAAUAGAAUAAUUAUUAUAUAAUUUAUUUUUUAUUACACCAUUCUGUUUGAGUAGCAACACUA
rnacentral:lncRNA from 1 species